UCAGCCCGUGGCCGGGGAGCAGCCCGGUGUGCCCGGGCGGGGUCGUGCCCCCGUCGUGCCAGCCCCCGGAUGGUUCCGGCCGGGCUGGG
rnacentral:tRNA from 1 species